UACGAGAGGCCCAAACGUUAUUCGGAAUUACUGGGCUUAAAGAGUUCGUAGGCGGCGCAGAAAGUAGGGUGUGAAAUCCCUCGGCUCAACCGAGGAACGUCGAUCGAUACUGCUGUUCUUGAGGAUUGCAGAGGAGACUGGAAUUCCCGGUGUAGCGGUGAAAUGUGUAGAGAUCGGGAGGAACACCGGUGGCGAAGGUGGGUCUCUGGGCAAUUCCUGACGCUGAGGAGCGAAAGCGUGGGGAGCAAACGGG
rnacentral:rRNA from 1 species